rnacentral:rRNA from 1 species
AGUGAACGCUGGCGGUAGGCCUAACACAUGCAAGUCGAACGGCAGCACAGUAAGAGCUUGCUCUUACGGGUGGCGAGUGGCGGACGGGUGAGGAAUACAUCGGAAUCUACUUUUUCGUGGGGGAUAACGUAGGGAAACUUACGCUAAUACCGCAUACGACCUACGGGUGAAAGCAGGGGAUCUUCGGACCUUGCGCGAUUGAAUGAGCCGAUGUCGGAUUAGCUAGUUGGCGGGGUAAAGGCCCACCAAGGCGACGAUCCGUAGCUGGUCUGAGAGGAUGGUCAGCCACACUGGAACUGAGACACGGUCCAGACUCCUACGGGAGGCAGCAGUGGGGAAUAUUGGACAAUGGGCGCAAGCCUGAUCCAGCCAUACCGCGUGGGUGAAGAAGGCCUUCGGGUUGUAAGGCCCUUUUGUUGGGAAAGAAAAGCAGCAGGUUAAUACCCCGCUGUUCUGACGGUACCCAAAGAAUAAGCACCGGCUAACUUCGUG